ACCUUGAACCGCCGACCACAGCUGCGCCGGGAUUCCAACGUAUCACGUACGUAGCAGUGGCAGCGAGGCUCUUGGGAGCGCCGAGGAGGCCGUACUUAAUGGGGAGGCGCACCAAGAGGCGACGGCAACCGAGCACGAGAACCCGGAUGAUAACAGCAACAUUGGCACGUUCGCCGCACCCGGUUGCGCGAUGACGUCACGCAUAGCUUGUCCAGCCAAUGGGCGGAGGAAGCGGAGAAUUUCGAACUAGGAAGAUUCCGGAAGCGAGGCAGGAGCCAACGGUCUAAGCGCCGGAGUCCGUUGAGGUAGAAGAUGGGUGGAGAAAAAUGCUUGAAAAGGUCCUUUAAGGACAGUCUGGACAAUAUAAAAGAACGAAUGAAAGAGAAAAGAAAUCAAAAAUGGGCAAAGUUGGGUAAAACAAACCAGGUCUUGCCUAUAACAUGCAAAAUAGCAACCAACAGUUCGGUGCAGCUGAAAAGCUUGCAAGCAAACAAUCGCGCACUAGCUCUAGCUUUGCAAGAGGAAAAAGCCAAAAUGAAAGAAGCCCAAGAUAUCAUUCUGCAUUUAAAGAAAGAGUAUCAGUCUCUGAAGUUUCAGAUAUUUGUUUUACAAAGAAAACUUAGCUCACAGCAAGCGAAAGAACCUGUUGAGACCAGAUUGUUGAUCUUGAGCAAGAUUGUUUCAAAAGUUGCUAAAAACCUACUCGAUACAGCUGAUCUUCUUGGUCCAGCUCAGGAUUUGUGUUCCACUGAUCUUAACAAGAGGAUGUAUCCCUCAGUUCUUGAAGAUGACGACUCCAGUAUUUUAAGACAAGCUGGUUCUCUGGGACUUCCUACACGUGUUCUUGUUGCAGAUGCUAGCCUAGAAGGCGAAAUGCUUGGAAAUGAAAUAGAGAAUAAUACUGAUACAAACAAUGCAUCUUAUUCUAUGUCAGAUUCCUGGCAGACCUUUAAAAAUACCACUUCAGUUAAGAAAAUGGCAACAAACACAGAAGGACAAAGAUCUGAUUUUCAUCUGGACAACCUAGAGGCCAACCUGGAAAAUACUCUUUUAGAUGAAGAGGAUAGGCAAGUUGGUAAUACCUUACCAAAAACUGUAUCUACCAGGCAUCACUGUUCAAACAGGAAAAUUCAUGUGCAUAAUCUAGACCAUUCAGAAAGGGCUUAUUUGACCAGAGAAUUUUGUAAACAGGAUGAAACUAGACUUGAGGGAAGUCUAGAGAAAGGUAAUAUAGAAAAUAUAGAGCCAAAUCUUUCUCAACUGAAUGAAAAUAAGAUAAACAUGAAGCCAAUGUUGGAUCAGGCAGAUACAUUGACUGAAUUGAACUGCUCAGUUGCAGAACCUAAACUUAAACAAAUUCAGCUUAAAAGCAGAGAAGACUCUCAAACAAGAAGAGAGAAAGUACAAAAAGGAAAAUUGGAAGGAAGUAAAAAGACUUCCAGAACAAGAUCAAAAAGACAGAGAAGCCAGGCAGAACAAACUUCCAAAGCGAAACUGGAUUUAUCAGUUGGCUCCAAUAAAGCUUAUGAUUUUCAGUUUGAGGAGAAUGUCCAUAUCACACCUUUCCGACAAAACAAGAUGAAUGAUUGUGACCGUGACGUGGAUGAAAGAAAGGAUACAUCUGAAUCCAAAACACACAGCAGUGAAGCAAGUGAUUCAGAAGAGAAUUCUGAUGACAGCCUGUAUGUGCCUUACAGGAGUAAAUCAAAAUACAGGAAGAGCUCACAGUGCAAAAAUGAUGGAAGUCCAGUCCAUAUAAGACCACGAUCUAAAAGAUCUGUGGUGUACCAGCAACAGAAAACCAGUAAUGAAAAAGAGACUAAGAAUACUACAUCAAAUGAAAAAUCUAUCAGCACUGUUGAAAAUACUCCAGUGGAUAGUACCUCCAUGAUCAGGAAAAUCAACAUUCAGUCAAGAACUGUGAUGAAAUUAGAUGAAGUAAAAUCACAUUCUCUUCUAUGUACUAUGGAUACUCUACCAAAAGUAGAUAAGAAUUCUUCCUCUGGAAAUAUAUAUUGCAAUUUUGCUAAAGGGAAACCUGAGGCUUCUCAGACAUCUCGUCUUCAUCUCUGUGAUGUCACCAACAUCUCUUCAUCGUCUGGUACAAAAAGUAGAAUCUCUCAUCCAUUUUUAUGUAUUGAUGAAAAAAUAGGAAUUCCCAGCCACAAACGCAGAUGUACUAUUAAUGUGAAUUACAAGGAACCAAGUAUCAGCGGGAAGCUCAGAAGAGGAGAUCCGUUUACAGAUAUGUGUUUUCUGAACUCUCCAAUUUUCAAGCAGAAAAAAGAUUCUAAACACAGUUCUGUUAAAAAGGAAUCUCUGUCCAAAUACAAUGAGGCAUUUGUUGGAUGUCGUUGAGAAGCCCUUUUGCACCCCCUUGUGGAGUUCUGAGGCAAAGAACAUUUAGUUAACAAAUUUGCUAUGUAAUUUGACACUUGUCAAAAUUUCACAUUACCGUUAUGCCAUAAGAAUAAUGUCUUGCUCAGUCUCUGUCCUGUGUACCAGGGAAAUCUAACUGUAUAUUUGGGUAGGCAGUGAUAAUUAUAGACUAUUUUAAAUUUAGAUUCCAUGGGAGUUUCAAUAGGGCUCAGAUGAAUACAUCUAAAACACUUUAAGAUCAUGAAUUUAAUAGAGUAAGGAGUAACUGUUAUUGUGCCUGUUCAUUAUAAAAGCAGUCUUGCUACCCAGCAAUAGUUUCUAUUUAAACUCUUCGAUUCCUGAACUCCACUGUGAAGUCCAUUAUCUGAAGGCAUGUUGAGAAUCUCUGGUGUAAAAAGAUAAGCACUAUGUGAAUUAUUUGACUGAUUACUAGAUUUGUCAGUCCCUGCUUAUUGUAACCCCUCACUUGAUAGAGCUGAAUUAUAGUAAAUCUUGGGAUUAGAUUACAAUUUUAAGUGAGCAAGUUUGUACAGCUGUCUUGUUACUUAUACAAAGCUGUAGUCUACUAAUGUUGAAAUGUAUAAUAAAACUUUUAGAUUUUAUAAAGUCUUGUAGAGAACUUACAUUCUAACUGCAAUGGUUUCAGUCUAAGGGCAGGUCUACACUAUGGGGAAAAGUCAGAUUAAGCUACACAAUUUGAGUUACGUUAGUAGCUUAACUCAGGUAAUGCUAGCUUAGAGCUACUUACUGCAGGGUCGACGAGAGAAACUCUCCCAUAGACUCCACUUACUCUUCUCAUUCUGGUGGAGUACUAGAGUUGAUGGGAGAGUGAUCAGCUGUCGAUUUAAAUCGACCCCAGGUGGAUUGAUCACCACAACGUCAAUCCCAACGGUAGUGGAGACAAACCCUUAGGUUUGGUCUACACUAGUCUGUUAUUUCGGAAUUAGCCGAGUUAAUUAAAAAAAAAAAUGAAUCCAUCCACACGACCAAACUGGUUUUUUCGAUUUAAAGGGCUCUUUAAUCCGAUUUCUGUACUCCACCUCAGCAAAUCAAGAUUGCAAUCCCAGGUUAAAGGUAUUGUGGACGUAAUUUGACGUUAUUGGCUUCCGGGAGCUAUCCCAGAAUGCUCCCUUGUGACCAUUCUGGACAACACUCUCAACUCCGAUGCACUAGCCAGAUGGACAAGAAAAGCCCUGGGAACUUUUGAAUUUCAUUUCCUGUUUGGUCACCAUCACAGGUGACCAUGCAGAGUCCACCAUCACAGGAGAUCACAGAGUCCUGGAUUCGCAGACUAGCUCCAGCAUGGUCUGAACAGGAAGUACUGGAUCUCAUCGCAUGUUGGGGAGACGAGGCUGUUAUGACAGAAAUACGUUCCAAAAAAAGAAUGCAAAUAUGUACGCUAAAGUCUCUAGUGCUAUGACGGAAAGAGGCUACUCCAGGGACACAUAGCAGUGUCAUACAAAAAUCAAGGAGCUCAGGCAAGCGUACCAAAAAGCCAGGGAGGCGAAUGGGCGCUCUGGGUCACAGCCCCAUACAUUCUGCUUCUACCAUGAGCUGCAUGCAAUUAUGGGAGGUGACGCCACCACUACCCCACCACUGUCUGUGGACACCUUCAAGGAGGGAGUUGCAUGGAGUGAGGAGGAGGACCAUGCACAGGCGGCAAGUAGGGAAUCCGUUUUCUGCCCUAGCCAGGAACUAUUCUUAAGGCUGGAGCCAAUACCCUCCCCCCACUCCCAAGGCAGACUCCCAGACCAUGACCCUGAAAAAGUACUUCUGGUGCAAAUGUUUCAACAUAGCCCCUGUCUACUCCGUCCCAGAGGGUGGUCCAGAUUAGAAGGUGGAAAAAAUGAACUUGGGACGACAUGUUCGCCGAGCUCAUGCAGUCCUCCCGCACUGAUAGGGCCCAGCUGAAUGCGGGGAGGCAAACAACUGCAGAAUCCCAUAAAGCAUUACAGGAACACGAAGAGAGGAGGUACACACGUGCUGAGAGCAGGCAGGAUGCUAUGAUCAAGCUUGUGGUGGAGCAAACUGACAUGCUCUGCUGUAUGGUGGAUCUAAUGCGGGAAAGGCAGCAAGACCACAGACUGCCACUGCAGCCCCUGUAUAACCGUGCUCCCUCCUUCCCAAGUUCCAUAGCCUCCUCACCCAGACGCCCAAGAACACGAGAGGGGGGGAGGCUAUGGGGACCCACACACUCAACCCCAGAGGAUCACCCAAGCAGCAGAAAGCUGGCAUAUGCGAACUUUUGAUUUGGUUCCUGUACUUAUCCUUCCCUCCUCCUCCUCCACCCCCCUAACCCAAUACCCCGCCCUCCCCCAGUCUACCCUCUCAAUGUGUU